GGGAUCUUCCACAAUGGGCGAAAGCCUGAUGGAGCAACGCCGCGUGUGUGAUGAAGGGUUUCGGCUCGUAAAACACUGUUGUAAGAGAAGAAUGACAUUGAGAGUAACUGUUCAAUGUGUGACGGUAUCUUACCAGAAAGGAACGGCUAAAUACGUGCCAG
rnacentral:rRNA from 1 species